rnacentral:rRNA from 1 species
UACAGAGGGUGCGAGCGUUAAUCGGAUUUACUGGGCGUAAAGGGUGCGUAGGCGGUUAUAUGAGUGUGAUGUGAAAGCCCCGGGCUUAACCUGGGAAGAGCAUUGCAAACGAUAUGACUGGAGUAGUUGAGAGGGUGAUGGAAUUUCCGGUGUAGCGGUGAAAUGCGUAGAGAUGUGGAGGAAUACCGAUGGCGAAGGCAGCCCCCUGGGCCAAUACUGACGCUCAUGCACGAAAGCGUGGGGAGCAAACAGG